CUCUUCAUGAAUGGCUGGGUGGCCGUAGUUUGGCGUGACUGGCGUCUCCGUGUGUCUGCAUGAUCCGGCUGCCCUGCGAUUGUACGCGUAGCCUUCUGCUCUCCUGGCUGCUGAUUUAAAAUGUGCCGCCCAGCGCCGUGGGUUGACGCAGCUUUGUUUUGUUGAGGUUUGAACUUUGGCCACUGAUUUUGAAGUGGAGCUUGAAGAGGAGAGAAGAGGAGGAUCUUCUCAUCUGUAGCUGACAUAAGCACAGAGCGAAAAAACACUUCCAGAGGGAGCGCGGUGAUGAUGCCAUUGUCGAAGCAUGACAUUUAAACAAGACCCAGAUCUCUUACCAGUCCCAACGCCAUGGUGACAGGAAUAGUGAUGCAAAAAAUGGACUGCAGUAUAAACCCCUCAAGGGUCUUUCAGCCAGAGCCCUGCAAUGGACUUUAACACCACACAGACACAUUAAAAGAACAAUAGUAGGCUAAGUGGACAUACUAUGAAUAUAUUUAAAUAUAUUGGAUAUAACAAGCCUUCACAGAAAAGGCCAAUUAUUUUGUCAUCUGUUCAAUUCAGCCCAUGUUCUGUCUGCAUAUCUACAUAUAUGCAAAAGCAUAUAGAAAAUUCCUAUAACACACUAAAUUAAUUAAGUAUUGGUAACUACUAAUAAUAUAAAGAGAAAAAAAGAUUCGUUUUUUUACAUUUAAAUAUGGAGUUUUGCCAAAAUAGCUGAGAUUAAAGCAGCUAUAAUCAAUAUAUUAAUAUCAUCAAUGGAUCAAAUGACUAUUUGUAUGCCACUGUUUUGCUUCACUCUCAACACUGUAAAAACCCACUGUGUGCUAGGGACCUAUAUGCUACAGUGCGGGUAAUGGACUAAGUUAGGCUGGAGCACUUAGAUAUCAGAUCCCUCAGCAAUAGCAGUUAAUGUCAAAAAUAGAGCUAAAAGGAGAGUGAAUAUUAGACUUAACUUUGGCCCAGAAAUGUGACUCUAAAUUCAUGCUAAUGUUGCCAUAUAUCUGCUGGAUGACGGUGAAUUGUUUGCUAACAUGCUUGACAUAUCGUAGUUAUCUUCACAGCUAGUUCUGCUAUCCCCAAGUGGCCAAAAGAUUUUCUCUAUCCGGAGUGUUCAUGUAAAACUACUUCUACAAGAAGGUCCAUUUUGUGCGUAGAAGUAUCUUAUUAGGCAGCGAUAUACAAAUAUGAAGGCAUACAUGCACAUACAACUGAACCACAUGUCUGCUUAAUAAUUCUCUUUGGAUGUUUCCGUUACAAGUUCAAGUCGAGCCUGAGUUAGAUGAUUUCUUUGUUAACUCUGCGAUGCAGUUGUGUGCACUCGCUGUUUCUGUGAUAAUAUAAUGUUUCAUUUCAUUAAGUCUGAAAGAUUCCCUGGGCACAGCAGGUGGAACGGUAUCUAUCUUCAGAUCAAUUAAACUUGUUAUAUCGUUACAAUUGCAUAACAUUGCAUUAGUAACAUUUUCCCAAUCACUAGAUGAAAACGAAUCCCUCAGCUGACUCUGCAGUGUGAUCCUUCUGUCAUUUUCCUGCCGCAGUUAGAUGCUCUGUGUAUACGUUUGAGCUUUGCACGCCCCUGUCUCUCUUCCAGACAAUCCUCUGCAGAUUUCAGUUUCAUAAUAAAUGUAUUUCACGCCAUUCAGCCUGAGACACUCUCUCGUGAAACAAACACCAAAGCACAAUGUCUAUUCAUAGCUCAUUAAAGCUAAUAUAAUAACUACAUAAACAGCUCGGCCAGACAGAGCCUGACAACAUCAUUUUGAAUGUUCAUUAGAAGAAUAUAAUCAAACCAGUCAGCUAAUUGGCUUGACUACUGUAUUAGCACCAGUUUGCUAUUGCGAAUCAGCUCUCACUUUGGUCACUAAUCACACUCACCUCAGAAAUACAGUAAGCAAGAUAUGUGUAACUGCAGUGUAUAUGUGUCUCUGUGCUCUGAUUCCUAUAAUACGGCUCUGUAUUACAUACACUGUAUAUGGGCUUGCUUUCCUGCAGCUCAUUUAAAUGUCGGAGUUGGGUACUUGGAUCCAGACAUACUAUUGAAAGGCAAAAGCCUGAACCAGCCUGCUUUGAAGUCUCAUUUCCUGUUGUACUGAUCUUUAAGCUUUGCCUUUAGGCACCUGUUCAAUACAUAAUGCACAGCAACCCAACUAGAAAUAUACGAGGAAAAAAAAAAAAGGUUCACUUUACAUAAAUCCGAGCACCGUUAACUGCAAAGUAAAGCCUUUUUUCAUCUAUAGACCAAAGUUUAUAGGAUGGUGGAAUUACUGUUGAUUAGUAGGUGGUCACCAGCCAAGGACUUUGCAUUCAAAUUAUGUUUACUUACCGGUUUAGUCUUGGAGGACGUACAAGAUGCUUUAUUAAUUCUAUUUUGCUCUUCAGUCAGUAAACAGCUCCGGGGCAUUAAAUGAGACAGUAAUGGCAGUUUGUUUUAUGUUGCUCUCAACUAUUGCGUCUUCUAAUGGCUUUUAAUAAACCUUGUGUUUAUCAUCAAAGGAAAAGCUCUGUGAUGUCCUCUCCUUUUUCCAAAGAUUAGCUCCUUAGGCAUAUUUCAUAUAUUGUUUUGGAAAUAAUGUUCUUACACAUUUGAAGUCCUUUGAAAUGUUUGAUAUUUUGUGGAAAAAAAUGGUUAUAACCAGGUGUUUGAAAUACAUUCAAGGAAGAGUGCAAUACCUAUAUUCUUAUUAGCCAAUCUCUGUCUCAUUAUAUUGUUACGGUUCUGCACCCAUCCUCCCAAUAUGUGAGUGAAUUAGCCCAAAAGGUAAUGAAUAGACUGCCGUGAAAUUUCAAACAGAAAUUCAUGUCCAUUUCAGGAUGAGCUGUAAUAACUCAGGUAAUCCUCCUGACUGAGGGCAAUGUUAAAGGAAGAAAUAAGAGCACAGUUAUUGUGUUGUUGUUCAAGUUGUAUGUGUUUGACAUUCAUGAAAUGAAUAAUUGCAUUCCAAAACUUAAUAAA